UUUAUUGGAGAGUUUGAUCCUGGCUCAGGACGAACGCUGGCGGCAUGCCUAAUACAUGCAAGUCGAGCGGACUUGAAGAGAAGCUUGCUUCUCUGAUAGUUAGCGGCGGACGGGUGAGUAACACGUAGGCAACCUGCCCUCAAGUUUGGGACAACUACCGGAAACGGUAGCUAAUACCGAAUAAUUGUUUUCUUCGCCUGAAGAGGACUGGAAAGACGGAGCAAUCUGUCACUUGGGGAUGGGCCUGCGGCGCAUUAGCUAGUUGGUGAGGUAACGGCUCACCAAGGCGACGAUGCGUAGCCGACCUGAGAGGGUGAUCGGCCACACUGGGA
rnacentral:rRNA from 1 species